UUUGUUCGUUGGGGUGGUGGUUGUUGUUGACGUUGUUGUUAUUAAAUUGGUGUCGACUGAUUGUUAGAAAAUAUUGGUAUCACAAAUGAUACUUGAUGAUGGUGUUGACGGGGUGGUUCAUUUCUUCUUACAUGAAGCCUCCUUUGCCUCCCAACGGACAUUGCAUUAGCUUCACUCUCCUUCUUCUUACCAAAACAAUUGCCAUACCUCUUGUUGGACGAUGCUUCCUCC
rnacentral:lncRNA from 1 species